UGUUGAAGUCGUUGCAAAAGGUGUCAUUAAAGAAAACUUGAAACUCGGGGCUGGUGAAUCCUGGAAAUUGAGUAGCAAAUUUGAGUUUCACUUCUUGUAUUAUGGUGUUAACACAUGAAAAUGUGUUAGGGCCUACUGAGCAUCCAAGGUCCGCAAUCCUGACAACUUUGCAACUUUUCUGUAUAUCAAGAUGGUCUCUUAUGCACCCGAUUAGCAGCGAUUUUGUGACAUCGAAUGACUCUUCCUGUCAUCAGUAAAUCAUGUAAUUACGUAUAAUAUUUGAAUUACGUAUAAGCAAGCCAUCCAUGUUUUAAUACAUCUACAAAUAUAAAAGUUUUAUCAUUUUGGUAUGCUUUAAAGACUAUACCCAGAACACAUGUGUGAUUAUAUCAUACCAUCGAUGCAUUAUUAGUUUAUUUGUUUGUGCAAGGAGAUUAUUUAAUCAAUGUGCAAGUUCAUAAGUACAAAUCAAGUACCUGUAUCUUCGAAUUUUGGGUGUAGCUGUUAGGGCCAUCUCCACCGUUCAUAGCUACAUUGUACUCCAUUUUCUGGCUGACAAACACUUUAGUGGACACUGGACAGUAAAACGAACCCGGUUGUUUUAAUUAAACAUCAUGUCACUAUGAAUUACGUUUUAUUCAAAAAAAAUAAAUUAUUACGCAUAAUUAACAACACUCGCAUGAUCUCGCUCGCAAGAUAACUUAAAACAAGACAACAACUAUAUCACACAAUUUAUUUUACUUUUUUGACAGAACUAUAUUACACAAUCAACAGAAAAACCCACAAUCAUCCUAGAUCUAACAUACACAAGUACAUGCAACAUAUACAUACAUGAUACAGUCAUACAGCUAUACUCACAAAACGUGUUCAACAAAAACAUAAAGCUACCUGUAAAUUAGAGAUGAUGGGAGUGAAAGUUGUGUUCUUGAUGAUGUAUAGAUUCAGAAAUUUGUGUGUAUAGUUUAUACUUCUGGCUUAGCGUUUGUUUUUAUUUAGUACUAUCAAUGAUAGUACUAUCACUACUAUAGCAUAUGUUUUUGAUGAAAUAAAGAUGAUGUGAGGAUAGCUGUGGGCCUGUGGAUGCGUUAGCAAUAUCAGAUUAGGCCGACAAUCUGUUUGUUUUAUCAAUACUCCCUCCGUCCCGGUCAUUUCUAUACAGUUUACUUUUUGGGACGUCCCAUCAUUUCUAUACAUUUCUAAAAUAGCAACUUUUAAUAAUGUAAAACACUAUUACACCAACUACUUUCUUCCACUAUCUUCAUUUUAUAAUAAUAUAAACACUAUUACACCCACUACUUUCCCCAACUAUCACACAUCUAUACUUAAAUACAAAUGGGUUCCACCAUUUUACCUCACUUUUCAUCUAACUUUACACAUUUUUUACAUUUUUUCUUGGUCUCCGUGUCCACACCAAAUGUAUACAACCUACUGGGACGGAGGGAGUAAAUCUUAGCCUAUAUUCCCGUACUUCCUCAUGGUUUGUCCGGGGUGCCGUUAAAAAAUUACUGUGUUAAUAAAUUUUUGGUGAGGUUUGAUGGUGAAAUUUGUAACAAGUUUUUGCAAAAGCUGAAAACAGUUUUUUUCAGUUAGCUUUUAGAUUACCAAACAAUUUUUCACCUAUUUUUCAGCAAAAAAUUGUUGUUACUGUCUGCAACAACUAACCCCAAACAAUACCUCAGUUGUUUCACCAUUUUAUUAUCAUUUUCUCGUGUAUGUUUAUGAAUUUUUAUUUUCGACUUCAGCCAAAUUUUCACUUUCAACUGCACCCCAAAAAAUCACCUAUAAAUUUUUGACUUCACAAAUUAUUACCGAUCCUAAUAUAAUUAUAUUUUUAUAAUAUGUAAUUUAUAUAAAGUUAUAUUCUGCAUUUCAUGAUUAAAUAUUAAAUUUAUCAUGUCCAAAAAUUAUUUUUAAGAUUUAAUAUUGUUUAACUAGAAAAAUAUAUGUACAUUUUUAUUAAUAAAAAAAUCUGAUGAAUAAAUGUAUUGGUUGUUUAUAAUUUUAACAUUAUAAGUUAUUAAUAUUUUAGAUUGUUAAAAUAAAAUAUGUUCAAUAUGAUUAUAAAUGAUGUGUGAUUCCAUAAGCAUAAUGAGAGGUUGGCUAAAAUUGUAGACACCGGUUGAUUAUGAUUUUUUUCGAAAGGUUAGAUUAUAUCUUUUAACUAAGUUUUUUAAGAUUGGAGAGGGUCUAAAUCUAGUAUAUAAUUUUAAAACUAUAACCAAUUUCAAAAGCUAAAAUAUAAAAUUUAAGGUUAAAAAAACAAAAACAUCCUGACCUACGAUAAUAAAUUUUAAAAAAAUUAAUGGGUAUGCUCCAAUACCAAAAUCUGGAGAUCAAAAGAUCAGCAGCAAGCAAUAAAAAUCACAUAUUGCACCAAGAGCAAUCAAGAACACGUGAGAUGCUGCUUCUGGUAAAUCAACUUCAACUAAAACAAGAACUUGAGUCAAGUUUAUAAUUAGCACAACACACAUAAGUUUUAUGAAAAUCUGGUUAAAUAGUGGUAUUUGAUACUUGUAAUAGACUUUUUAUGCCAGGUUACUGGCUGACAAUGCUGAUCAUGGUUGAAAGAACGACGAGCCCUCUGGGAUUUAAUAGAGACCUGAGCUCUGAUGAGAGCUUGCAUACUAUAAAGUGUGGCAGCAGCUCCUUCCUCACUAGGUAGCCUCUAACAAGAGCUUAUAGUUUAACCUUUCAGAGUCCGGAGAGCUUUUCAUGAUUGACAGUUAAGCAUAAUUAGAUAGAAACCAAAAUCUAAAUGCAGAGUGAACAAAGCAGAUUCAAAAAAUAAUACGCCGUGACCUCCUUUGAGAUGUUCUUACAAGGGAAUAGGAGUAUCUACUCGCCUAAACGAGUUCAUCCUACAUGAUCACUCGCUCAAUAGCUACGGAAACAAUACCAACCUUGUCAAAAUUCUUAAACCGGGCUGAAAAUUCUGUGAACUUAUUGCAAUAUCGGUGAAAAAGGUCAUCCAUGAGAAUAUCUGGCCCAAAGUGUUUGUUUAUAAUUCCUUCCAUCGCUGCUCUCAGAUGAGAACUUCCAUACAUAAUAUCUUCAGCAGAACUCAUCUUUACUUUCAAAAAUGAUUCCUCCACCUUGAGAAUAUUCAAAUGCUUAUCACCGGACACUAAUUUAAUCACCUCAGACGGUGUCGGUAUAUAGAGUGGUAGAUUGAACGAGUCUAGAAGUUCUUCCGCUACUAGGCCCUGUAAUUCAAGAAGUUAAUCAAUGUCAUGCAAUUCAAAAAUUUGUACAUAGCAGAUGCAUUAAUUACCUCCUUAACCAUGUCGGUGAAAGCGUCUCCCAAGAUAUCUAUUGGUUCCAAGAUGCUUAGUACAGAUUCAUUGCUCCUGCAGGGGAUGGAUAUGAAUAUUAACCCUCCAGGCGCUAACUCUGCAGAUCUUGCACCAAUGAAAGCUUUAAAAUCGCUCAUAAACUGAGCAGCGAAAGCCUGUUUGACUUCAAUAGAACUUCUGACAUAACUUAUUCUGCCUUUGUUCCACGCCCUGGAGUCCUUUGUUAGUACUUCUUUAGGAACUUGAGAAAUCCAAUGACAAGAGAAAGAAGAGUGUAUCAAAUUCAUGGACUCUUUUGGGAACAAUUGACCGUAAAAAGAGCCAGGAACUCCUACUGCCAUGUACAACCUAUCGAUAGGAAGAGCAUUGAAUAGCGUGUUAAAGUCAUUGGAGAAGGUGUCAUUAAAGAAAACCUGAAACUCGGGGAGGCUGAUGAAUCCUGGAAAUUGAGUAUGAAACUUGAGUUUCACGUCUUGUAUUAUGGUGUUUUAACACAUGAAAAUGUGUUAGGGCCUACUGAGCAUCCAAGGUCCGCCAUCCUGAAAACUUUGCAACUUUUCUGUAUAUCAAGAUGGUCUCUUAUGCACCC
rnacentral:lncRNA from 1 species